rnacentral:rRNA from 1 species
CCAAAAACAUCACCUCUAGCAUUACUAGUAUUAGAGGCACUGCCUGCCCAGUGACACGAGUUAAACGGCCGCGGUAUUCUGACCGUGCAAAGGUAGCAUAAUCAUUUGUUCUAUAAAUAAGGACUUGUAUGAAUGGCCACACGAGGGUUUUACUGUCUCUUACUUCCAAUCGGUGAAAUUGACCUUCCCGUGAAGAGGCGGGAAUAUAACAAUAAGACGAGAAGACCCUAUGGAGCUUUAAUUAACUAACCCAAUAGAAUCUAUUCAAUUAACCAAUAUGGGACAAAGUAAUUCUACAGUGGGACAGCAAUUUAGGUUGGGGCGACCUCGGAGUAUAACACAACCCCCGAGUGAUAUAAAUCUAGACAUACCUGUCAAAACGAACUAUCAUAAAUUGAUCCAAAAAUUUUUGAUCAACGGAACAAGUUACCCUAGGGAUAACAGCGCAAUCCUAUUCAAGAGUUCAUAUCGACAAUAGGGUUUACGACCUCGAUGUUGGAUCAGGACAUCCCAAUGGUGCAGCAGCUAUUAAAGGUUCGUUUGUUCAACGAUUAAAGUCCUACGUGAUCUGAGUUCAGACCGGAGUAAUCCAGGUCGGUUUCUAUCUAUUAACCAGUCUCUCCCAGUACGAAAGGACAAGAGAGACAAGGCCCACUUCGACGAAGCGCCUUAGGACUAAUAUAUGACAUAAUCUUAAUAUAACCAGUUCAACUACACUAUUCAACCCGAGAACAGGGUUU